rnacentral:rRNA from 1 species
GAUGAACGCUGGCGGCGUGCCUAAUACAUGCAAGUCGAGCGAACGGACGAGAAGCUUGCUUCUCUGAUGUUAGCGGCGGACGGGUGAGUAACACGUGGAUAACCUACCUAUAAGACUGGGAUAACUUCGGGAAACCGUAGCUAAUACCGGAUAAUAUUUUGAACCGCAUGGUUCAAAAGUGAAAGACGGUCUUGCUGUCACUUAUAGAUGGAUCCGCGCUGCAUUAGCUAGUUGGUAAGGUAACGGCUUACCAAGGCAACGAUGCAUAGCCGACCUGAGAGGGUGAUCGGCCACACUGGAACUGAGACACGGUCCAGACUCCUACGGGAGGCAGCAGUAGGGAAUCUUCCGCAAUGGGCGUAAGCCUGACGGAGCAACGCCGCGUGAGUGAUGAAGGUCUUCGGAUCGUAAAACUCUGUUAUUAGGGAAGAACAUAUGUGUAAGUAACUGUGCACAUCUUGACGGUACCUAAUCAGAAAGCCACGGCUAACUACGUGCCAGCAGCCGCGGUAAUACGUAGGUGGCAAGCGUUAUCCGGAAUUAUUGGGCGUAAAGCGCGCGUAGGCGGUUUUUUAAGUCUGAUGUGAAAGCCCACGGCUCAACCGUGGAGGGUCAUUGGAAACUGGAAAACUUGAGUGCAGAAGAGGAAAGUGGAAUUCCAUGUGUAGCGGUGAAAUGCGCAGAGAUAUGGAGGAACACCAGUGGCGAAGGCGACUUUCUGGUCUGUAACUGACGCUGAUGUGCGAAAGCGUGGGGAUCAAACAGGAUUAGAUACCCUGGUAGUCCACGCCGUAAACGAUGAGUGCUAAGUGUUAGGGGGUUUCCGCCCCUUAGUGCUGCAGCUAACGCAUUAAGCACUCCGCCUGGGGAGUACGACCGCAAGGUUGAAACUCAAAGGAAUUGACGGGGACCCGCACAAGCGGUGGAGCAUGUGGUUUAAUUCGAAGCAACGCGAAGAACCUUACCAAAUCUUGACAUCCUUUGACAACUCUAGAGAUAGAGCCUUCCCCUUCGGGGGACAAAGUGACAGGUGGUGCAUGGUUGUCGUCAGCUCGUGUCGUGAGAUGUUGGGUUAAGUCCCGCAACGAGCGCAACCCUUAAGCUUAGUUGCCAUCAUUAAGUUGGGCACUCUAAGUUGACUGCCGGUGACAAACCGGAGGAAGGUGGGGAUGACGUCAAAUCAUCAUGCCCCUUAUGAUUUGGGCUACACACGUGCUACAAUGGACAAUACAAAGGGCAGCGAAACCGCGAGGUCAAGCAAAUCCCAUAAAGUUGUUCUCAGUUCGGAUUGUAGUCUGCAACUCGACUACAUGAAGCUGGAAUCGCUAGUAAUCGUAGAUCAGCAUGCUACGGUGAAUACGUUCCCGGGUCU